rnacentral:rRNA from 1 species
UACGGAGGGAGCUAGCGUUGUUCGGAAUUACUGGGCGUAAAGCGCGCGUAGGCGGUUUUUCAAGUCAGGGGUGAAAGCCCGGAGCUCAACUCCGGAAUUGCCCUUGAAACUGGAUGACUUGAGUCUUGGAGAGGCGAGUGGAAUUCCGAGUGUAGAGGUGAAAUUCGUAGAUAUUCGGAAGAACACCAGUGGCGAAGGCGACUCGCUGGACAAGAACUGACGCUGAGGUGCGAAAGCGUGGGGAGCAAACAGG